ensembl:lncRNA
AGAACAGAGAGAACAGAGAGAGAACAGAGAGAGAACAGAGAGAGAACAGAGAGAGAACAGAGAGAGAACAGAGAGAGAACAGAGAGAGAACAGAGAGAGAACAGAGAGAGAACAGAGAGAGAACAGAGAGAGAACAGAGAGAGAACAGAGAGAAAACAGAGAGAGAACAGAGAGAGAACAGAGAGAAAACAGAGAGAGAACAGAGAGAAAACAGAGAGAGAACAGAGAGGGAACAGAGAUAAAAGAGAACAGAGAGAGCAGAGAGAGAACAGAGAGGGAACAGAGAGGGAACAGAGAGAGCAGAGAGAGAACAGCGAGAGCUGAGAGAGAACAGAGAGAGAACAGAGAUAACAGAGAACAGAGAGAGAACAGAGAGAACGUCUUCUAUUUCUCCAUUGUUCUCCACAGCUACAGACAAGGGGCAGCGCUAACAAUAAGACAGUAACCAUGUCAUGUUGUUGUCUUAGGUCGGCAGGUAGCCUAGUGGUUAGAGGCAGCUAGCCUAGUGGUUAGAGGCAGGUAGCCUAGUGGUUAGAGGCAGGUAGCCUAGUGGUUAGAGGCAGGUAGCCUAGUGGUUAGAGGCAGGUAGCCUAGUGGUUAGAGGCAGAUAGCCUAGUGGUUAGAGGCAGGUAGCCUAGUGGUUAGAGGCAGGUAGCCUAGUGGUUAGAGGCUGGUAGCCUAGUGGUUAGAGGCAGAUAGCCUAGUGGUUAGAGGCAGAUAGCCUAGUGGUUAGAGGCAGGUAGCCUAGUGGUCAGAGGCAGGUAGCCUAGUGGUUAGAGACAGGUAGCCUAGUGGUUAGAGGCAGGUAGCCUAGUGGUUAUAGCGUUGGACUAGUAACUGAAAGGUUGCUAGAUUGAAUCCCCGAGCUGACAAGGUAAAAAUCUGUCGUUCUGCCCCUGAACAGGCAGUUAACCCACUGUUCCUAGGCCGUCAUUGUAAAUAAGAAGUUAUUCUUAACUGACUUGCCUAGUUAAAUAAAGGUUAAAUAAAAAUUUAAAAUAAAAAAUGACUAUAAACUGUGGAAGUUUACCAGUAAACUACUAGUGGCCUUAUUGGGUACUUCAGAUUAUCACAGGUGUCUGUAAUUAUCUCUGACCCUCUGUGUGGCCUUAUCACAUGUAGAAUAUAAAAUAAUCAAAUUAUUUUAAAAAAACAUGAUCCUAAACAUAAACCAUCAACUUAGUGAAUACCAUCGUUUUUUAUUAUGAGGGUUUCAGCAUGAAAUAUCCUUUAUAUAUUUUUUACACACUUUUGGUGUUUUACUCGGUCAAUCUGUCAAUGUUUUGGUGCCAAACUGGUGGCAGACAACGGUUGGAAAAGUCAAUAUUGGGAAGAGAUGAAGGGUUAAUUGGAAAAUAAUGCUGUUGUUGAUUAGAUGCUUUUUCAUUAAUUAGACUAUUUUCUCAUGAACCGUAUGGUCUAUCUACUAGAAACUCAUGAACCAUCUGGUCUAUCUACUAGAAACUCAUGAACCAUCUGGUGUAUCUACUAGAAACUCA